UGACCGAACAUGUCCAGAUGGCUGCCAUGACUUUAUUGGCGAUGUUGGUGGUGAUGACUUCAUAGCUGGGUGACCAUCCAGGCUAAGCGGCGGAACUAGGUCAAUUCGACCAAUCCGUUGAGUGCCUUCUGGACUAUACAGAAGUGGACUAGAUGGAAAACUCCCAGUAAACAAGGGAGAGGUAAUUGGAGUUGGGAGUGCAGUAGUUGGCUUUCCAAAUCCAGAAGUGCUAUUCAUUAGAGUAAGCCUAAUACCAUUCUGAGAACAGAAUGCUUCAAGCGAACGAGUAUGAUUUAUCUUCUUUCCAAAAUCAGGAUUAAAUGAAGCCUCUACAAGUAGAACCACACGUCUCCAUCCCAAGGUAGGAUUACUUUCACUUAAAC
rnacentral:rRNA from 1 species